rnacentral:rRNA from 1 species
UACGGGGGGAGCAAGCGUUGUUCGGAUUUACUGGGCGUAAAGGGCGCGUAGGCGGUCAGCACAAGUCAGUGGUGAAAUCUCCGGGCUUAACUCGGAACGGUCAGCUGAUACUGCUUUGCUAGAGUGCAGAUGGGGCAAUCGGAAUUCUUGGUGUAGCGGUGAAAUGCGUAGAUAUCAAGAGGAACACCUGAGGUGAAGACGGGUUGCUGGGCUGACACUGACGCUGAGGCGCGAAAGCUAGGGUAGCAAACGGG